rnacentral:rRNA from 1 species
UACGUAGGGUGCAAGCGUUGUCCGGAAUUAUUGGGCGUAAAGAGCUCGUAGGCGGUCUGUCGCGUCUGGUGUGAAAAUCCAGGGCUUAACCCUGGACCUGCAUCGGGUACGGGCAGGCUAGAGUGCGGUAGAGGGUAGUGGAAUUCCCGGUGUAGCGGUGAAAUGCGUAGAGAUCGGGAGGAACACCAGUGGCGAAGGCGGCUACCUGGACCAGCACUGACACUGAGGCACGAAAGCGUGGGGAGCAAACAGG